rnacentral:rRNA from 1 species
GACGGAGGAUGCAAGCGUUAUCCGGAAUGAUUGGGCGUAAAGCGUCCGCAGGUGGCAGUUCAAGUCUGCUGUCAAAGACCGGGGCUUAACUUCGGAAAGGCAGUGGAAACUGAACAGCUAGAGUAUGGUAGGGGCAGAGGGAAUUCCUGGUGUAGCGGUGAAAUGCGUAGAUAUCUGGAGGAACACCUAUGGCGAAGGCAGCUCUCUGGGACGGUACUGACGCUGAGACGCGAAAGCGUGGGGAGCGAACAGG